rnacentral:rRNA from 1 species
UUAGGAAUCUUCCACAAUGGGCGAAAGCCUGAUGGAGCGACGCCGCGUGAGGGAUGAAGGCCUUAGGGUUGUAAACCUCUAAAAGAGGGACGAUAAUGACGGUACCUCUUGAAUAGCACCGGCUAACUCCGUGCCAGCAGCCGCGGUAAUACGGAGGGUGCAAGCGUUAUCCGGAAUCACUGGGUGUAAAGGGCGUGUAGGCGGUUUCUCAAGUCCGAUGCUAAAGACCGAAGCUCAACUUCGGGAGUGCGUUGGAUACUGUGAGGCUAGACGGUCGGAGAGGGUAGCGGAAUUUCCUGAGUAGCGGUGAAAUGCGCAGAUACAGGAAGGAACGCCAAUAGCGAAAGCAGCUACCUGGACGAUUUGUGACGCUGAGGCGCGAAAGCGUGGGGAGCAAACC